rnacentral:rRNA from 1 species
AAAUUCUGCCCAAUGAUUAUUUUAAUGGCUGCAGUAUUUUGACUGUACAAAGGUAGCAUAAUAAUUAGUUUCUUAAUUAGGGACUAGUAUGAAUGAGUAAAUGAGGAAUAUAUUUUAUUUAUUUAAAAUUUAAAAUUUUAUUAUUUAGUAAAAAAUCUAAAUUAAUAAUUUGGGACGAAAAGACCCUAUAGAACUUGAAUUUUAUAUUAAUUUAGUUGAUUUUAAAUUACUUUAAUUUAAUUUAUUUUAUUGGGGUGAUAGUUAAAUUUAAACUUUAGCUUUUAGUUACAUUUAUUUUUGUUGACGAAUAUAUUUAUUUUAUAAGUUAAAGUUACCUUAGGGAUAACAGCGUAAUUUAAAUGGGGAGUUCAUAUCUAUAUUUAAGUUUGCGACCUCGAUGUUGAAUUAAGAUAAGAUUAGGGGGUAGAUUUUUUUUUUCUAAGUC